rnacentral:rRNA from 1 species
UACAGAGGUCCCGAGCGUUGUUCGGAUUCACUGGGCGUAAAGGGUGCGUAGGUGGUCGGGUAAGUCUGAGGUGAAAUCUCCGAGCCCAACUCGGAAACUGCCUUGGAUACUAUUCGGCUAGAGGGUUGGAGGGGGGACUGGAAUUCUCGGUGUAGCAGUGAAAUGCGUAGAUAUCGAGAGGAACACUAAGGGCGAAGGCAAGACUCUGGACAAGUGCUGACGCUCAUGCACGAAGGCGAGGGUAGCGAACGGG